rnacentral:rRNA from 1 species
GAUGAACGCUGGCGGCGUGCUUAACACAUGCAAGUCGAACGGUGAAGGGGAGCUUGCUUCCUGGAUCAGUGGCGAACGGGUGAGUAACACGUGAGCAACGUGCCCCAGACUCUGGGAUAACAGUUGGAAACAGCUACUAAUACCGGAUACGAGACGUGGCCGCAUGGUCGACGUUUGGAAAGAUUUUUUGGUCUGGGAUCGGCUCGCGGCCUAUCAGCUUGUUGGUGAGGUAAUGGCUCACCAAGGCGUCGACGGGUAGCCGGCCUGAGAGGGUGACCGGCCACACUGGGACUGAGACACGGCCCAGACUCCUACGGGAGGCAGCAGUGGGGAAUAUUGCACAAUGGGCGGAAGCCUGAUGCAGCAACGCCGCGUGAGGGACGACGGCCUUCGGGUUGUAAACCUCUUUUAGCAGGGAAGAAGCGAAAGUGACGGUACCUGCAGAAAAAGCGCCGGCUAACUACGUGCCAGCAGCCGCGGUAAUACGUAGGGCGCAAGCGUUAUCCGGAAUUAUUGGGCGUAAAGAGCUCGUAGGCGGUUUGUCGCGUCUGCUGUGAAAUCCCGAGGCUCAACCUCGGGCCUGCAGUGGGUACGGGCAGACUAGAGUGCGGUAGGGGGAGAUUGGAAUUCCUGGUGUAGCGGUGGAAUGCGCAGAUAUCAGGAGGAACACCGAUGGCGAAGGCAGAUCUCUGGGCCGUAACUGACGCUGAGGAGCGAAAGGGUGGGGAGCAAACAGGCUUAGAUACCCUGGUAGUCCACCCCGUAAACGUUGGGAACUAGUUGUGGGGUCCAUUCCACGGAUUCCGUGACGCAGCUAACGCAUUAAGUUCCCCGCCUGGGGAGUACGGCCGCAAGGCUAAAACUCAAAGGAAUUGACGGGGACCCGCACAAGCGGCGGAGCAUGCGGAUUAAUUCGAUGCAACGCGAAGAACCUUACCAAGGCUUGACAUAUAGAGGAAACGGCUGGAAACAGUCGCCCCGCAAGGUCUCUAUACAGGUGGUGCAUGGUUGUCGUCAGCUCGUGUCGUGAGAUGUUGGGUUAAGUCCCGCAACGAGCGCAACCCUCGUUCUAUGUUGCCAGCACGUAAUGGUGGGAACUCAUGGGAUACUGCCGGGGUCAACUCGGAGGAAGGUGGGGAUGACGUCAAAUCAUCAUGCCCCUUAUGUCUUGGGCUUCACGCAUGCUACAAUGGCCGGUACAAAGGGCUGCAAUACCGUGAGGUGGAGCGAAUCCCAAAAAGCCGGUCCCAGUUCGGAUUGAGGUCUGCAACUCGACCUCAUGAAGUCGGAGUCGCUAGUAAUCGCAGAUCAGCAACGCUGCGGUGAAUACGUUCCCGGGUCUUGUACACACCGCCCGUCAAGUCAUGAAAGUCGGUAACACCUGAAGCCGGUGGCCCAACCCUUGUGGAGGGAGCCGUCGAAGGUGGGAUCGGUAAUUAGGACU